UGAGUAGAACAGAUAAUCGCCUGUUUCAUUGAAGAAACAGGAGGAAAGUCCGGACUCCUUGGGGAAAUAGUAAUGGCUAACGGCCAUGGGGAGCGAUCCCACGGAAAGUGCAACAGAAAACAAACCGCCCUCUAGGUCAGAAAACUGCCGAGGGUAAGGGUGAAACAGCGAGGUAAGAGCUCACUAUGCCUGUAGCGAUGCAGAGCAUUGGAAAACCCUACUAGGAGCAAUAUCAAGUCGACGUCUCACGGUCAAAUGUGAGGACGCUUCCCUACGUCUAACGUCGUGGUAGAUAGCUUGAGGCUAGGAGUAAUUCUAGUCCUAGAUUGAUGAUUAUCCUAUACAGAAUCCGGCUUACGUUCUACUCACAAA
rnacentral:RNase_P_RNA from 1 species